rnacentral:rRNA from 1 species
UACAGGGGGGGCAAGGCGUUGUUCGGAAUUACUGGGCGUAAAGGGUUCGUAGGUGGCCACUUAAGUCAGACGUGAAAUCCCCUCAGCUUAACUGGGGAACUGCGUCUGAUACUGAGUGGCUUGAGUGCAGGAGAGGAAUGCGGAAUUCCAGGUGUAGCGGUGAAAUGCGUAGAUAUCUGGAGGAACACCGGUGGCGAAGGCGCAUCCUGGACCGGCAUUGACGCUGAGGCGCGAAAGCCAGGGGAGCCAAAGCGGGG